CCCCUAGGUGGUGGAUAACCCUCCGAAAGGAGGGCUAAUACAGCAUAAGACCACGGCGUCCUCGGAUGUCGCGGCCAAAGCGGGCCUCUUCAUGAAAGCUCGUGCUCGGGGAUGAGCCCGCGGCCCAUCAGCUUGUUGGCGAGGUAAAAGCUCACCAAGGCAAAGACGGGUAGCUGGUCUGAGAGGAUGAACAGCCACACUGGAACUGAGACACGGUCCAGACUCCUACGGGAGGCAGCAGUGGGGAAUCUUGCGCAAUGGGCGAAAGCCUGACGCAGCGACGCCGCGUGAGCGAUGAAGGCCCUCGGGUCGUAAAGCUCUGUGGGGGAGGAAAGAAUAAGGGUAGGUUAAUAUCCUGCCUGAUGACGGUACCUCCUUAGCAAGCACCGGCUAACUCUGUG
rnacentral:rRNA from 1 species